rnacentral:lncRNA from 1 species
UAAUAUGACAAGAAUUACUUAAAAGGAAAGUAAACCAUAUUUUUUAACUUCACCCAUUGUCAAACGUUGUCGCGACAAAACAUAAUUAUUAGUACUCCCCAUGGGAGGGGAGUAGUAUUUUUUAUACAUGUCAAGAAACUGAUGAGUUGUGGAAAAAAGUUAUUUCUUGGCUUGGCAAGAAGACGGUUUUGCACCGAAAGGCCAAAGACUACCUCAAUUCCUUCAUAAAUUUGGGGAAUAAAAAGGACGAGCGGUUUUUGCUUGGAGUUUGGAUUUGCACAAAUUGGUGCAUCUGGAAAGAGAGAAAUGAAUGCAAGUUCAAUCAAGGUAAGUGGAAUAGAGAAAGAAUUUUUGCCGAGAUAAAAUCGAGGUUGUGGGGCUGGAAGAUGAUUUACAACACGCCGACUCCAUCCUCGGAUUUUAGGAGCUGGUUCGAGGCAGUAAAUCUUUGAGAAUGUCUGCUAUUGUCUUGUUCCUCUUUCCUCUUGUUUUGG